rnacentral:rRNA from 1 species
AGAUUAGCUAGUUGGUGGGGUAAAGGCCCACCAAGGCGACGAUCUGUAACUGGUCUGAGAGGAUGAUCAGUCACACCGGAACUGAGACACGGUCCGGACUCCUACGGGAGGCAGCAGUGGGGAAUAUUGGACAAUGGGCGCAAGCCUGAUCCAGCCAUGCCGCGUGGGUGAAGAAGGCCUUCGGGUUGUAAAGCCCUUUUGUUGGGAAAGAAAAGCAGUCGGUUAAUACCCGAUUGUUCUGACGGUACCCAAAGAAUAAGCACCGGCUAACUUCGUGCCAGCAGCCGCGGUAAUACGAAGGGGGCUAGCGUUGCUCGGAAUCACUGGGCGUAAAGGGCGCGUAGGCGGCUCGUUUAGUCGGGUGUGAAAUCCCAAGGCUCAACCUUGGAACUGCAUUCGAUACUGGCGGGCUAGAGACCGGAAGAGGUGGGUGGAAUACCCAGUGUAGAGGUGAAAUUCGUA